rnacentral:misc_RNA from 1 species
GUCACGUGCUUUCUAUCCACAGAUUCUUUUUUUCAUCAAGAACUGAUGCUACGGAGAGCUAGAUAAUGGAAUAGCAGGAUGGAAUAGUCAGAUAACGUUGCCUUCUGGCUAUUAGUCCAAGUGUUUAUCUCGUAGUCUUUCUCAAAAUUUGAGUGUGGGUCUUGUUCUCCCUAAGUCUAGUGGGGCUGUAUGUACUUUUUUAUUAUGAUUUUGGAUUGCCAAUCUUGAAGUUCACAUGAUAGGACAAUUUUCUUUGAAAAUCAAAGGUUGGUUGUUGUCUGAUAGAAGCCAAUCGCUUUGUUUGUUGCAUAUCAGAUUAGGAUGCUGUGGAAGCUCUGUAUUAUAUGCCCCCUAUGAAGAUCGCUGUUGAUAGCUUUGUUAUGGCGUUUUUAAGGUUCUUUUGGCCAGCCGAUUUUUAGGCUUAGUUUUGCAUUUUGGAAAGGCUUGCCAAUUUGAUCUUUUCUCUCAUUGAUCGGUUGUGUAGUUCCAGGGUUGGGAAGACCGCCGUUGCUGCUUGUGGUUCUCGUCUCCUAGGGUUUCUAGUGAUAAGAAGCUGUGGGCUCUGUUUGUUGGAGCUGGCCUGCUGGGUCUUUGGUUGUAAUCUAAGCUAUUAGGAGGCGUUUUGUCUAUAAUACCCUCUGGGCCUUGUUAUGCAAUGAAAUUUGUAUGUAAAAAAAUUUUAUCAAGUAUUAUAU